AACAAUUAAUACAAAUCUCUUACAAAUAUAUAUAUGAGUUCCAAAUUACAUACAUAUAACUAAAGUCUGAAGUAGCUAUAAAAUAUAAAAGACAAAACACAAAAGAAAGCCAUUUCUUUCACUAGGCUGUUGGACUCAUCAGAGUGCGGAAACAAUUAUGUACUCAAAUUUUAUGGAUCCAUUGGAUCCUCAUAGACUUCCAAGGGUAGGUCCACCUACGGUUCCUCAUUUUCUUCUUCAUCUGGGCGAGGAGUAUAGAAAGAGUGAGUUCCACAUGUUAAGUAAGGAAAAUAAUAUUAAAUUAACAUCAUAAAUUUUUAAAGGUGAAUUAUUUUAACUUAAAAGCUUACCAUUUGGCCAUCUCAUAGACCUAUCUUAUAUUAUGAAAAUAAUUUAUUUAUUAAGAAAACUGUACAUUAAUAUGGACAAUCAAACAUACAUCAUGCCAGAUAAUAGAGAAAAUCAAAUAAAUCAUGAAAUGCUCAUAUUUUUGUGUCAUACUUUGUGAAGUCGUUACAGCUUCCAUCUUUGAAGGCAGAUACAGAUU
rnacentral:lncRNA from 1 species